GGAGUUAGCCGGUGCUUCUUCUGUGAGUGAUGUCCUUCCUGCCGGUUAUUGACCCGCAGGCCUUCUUCCUCACUGAAAGUGCUUUACAACCCGAAGGCCUUCUUCACACACGCGGCAUGGCUGGAUCAGGGUUGCCCCCAUUGUCCAAUAUUCCCCACUGCUGCCUCCCGUAGGAGUCUGGGCCGUGUCUCAGUCCCAGUGUGUCUGAUCAUCCUCUCAGACCAGCUACGGAUCGUCGCCUUGGUGAGCCGUUACCUCACCAACCAGCUAAUCCGACAUAGGCUCAUCCGAUAGCGCGAGGCCCGAAGGUCCCCCGCUUUCCCCCGUAGGGCGUAUGCGGUAUUAGCCUGGGUUUCCCCAGGUUAUCCCCCACUACCGGGCAGAUUCCUAUGCAUUACUCACCCGUCCGCCGCUCGCCACCAGGGAGCAAGCUCCCCGUGCUGCCGCUCGACUUGCAUGUGUUAGGCCUGCCGCCAGCGUUCAAUCUGAGCCAGAUCAAACUCUGA
rnacentral:rRNA from 1 species